rnacentral:rRNA from 1 species
UACGGAGGGUGCGAGCGUUGUCCGGAAUCACUGGGCGUAAAGGGCGCGUAGGCGGCGCGGAUAGUCGGCGGUGAAAGCCCGGAGCUCAACUCCGGGUCGGCCGUCGAUACUUCCGGGCUUGAGCACUGUAGAGGCAGAUGGAAUUCCGGGUGUAGCGGUGGAAUGCGUAGAGAUCCGGAAGAACACCGGUGGCGAAGGCGGUCUGCUGGGCAGUUGCUGACGCUGAUGCGG